GACAGAGGGUGCAAACGUUGCUCGGAAUUACUGGGCGUAAAGCGCGUGUAGGUGGCUUCGCACGUCCGAUGUGAAAGCCCAGGGCUCAACCCUGGAAGUGCAUUGGAUACGACGGAGCUAGAGUGUUGAAGAGGAGAGCGGAAUUCCCGGUGUAGAGGUGAAAUUCGUAGAUAUCGGGAGGAACACCAGUGGCGAAGGCGGCUCUCUGGGCAACGACUGACACUGAGACGCGAAAGCGUGGGUAGCAAACAGGG
rnacentral:rRNA from 1 species